AUUGCCCAGGGUGCAUUGCCCUGAAGAGCGCUCCUCUUUCCGGUGAAAGUCGUCGAGUUCCCAGCCGGGAGUCUGCGGAGUUCGCAUACUCUGUUACCCAGCUUCCUUUGUGUGAGGGCUGUUGCGCACUUCCGGUGGAAGCGCUGAAGCGAGUGGGUGGAGUUUACGGAGCCGGUGGGCGGUAGGCGGUGCUACCGGUAGCUGGGUGCUGUCCAAAGGCGACAGGGCAUCGUUAGGGGAGCGAGUCGUGACCGGUUGGGCCACACUCAACGUGGGACGAAGCUUCGCCUACUGUUUGACUACGUGCGUGCAGCCUCCCCUUGAUGUCGGCCCUCGAAAAGAGCAUGCACCUCGGCCGCCUUCCCUCUCGCCCACCUCUACCCGGCAGCGGGGGCAGUCAGAGCGGAGCCAAGAUGCGAAUGGGCCCUGGAAGAAAGCGGGACUUUUCCCCUGUUCCUUGGAGUCAGUAUUUUGAGUCCAUGGAAGAUGUAGAAGUAGAGAAUGAAACUGGCAAGGAUACUUUUCGAGUCUACAAGAGUGGUUCAGAGGGUCCAGUCCUGCUCCUUCUGCAUGGAGGAGGUCAUUCUGCCCUUUCUUGGGCUGUGUUCACGGCAGCGAUUAUUAGUAGAGUUCAGUGUAGGAUUGUGGCUUUGGAUCUGCGAAGUCAUGGUGAAACAAAAGUCAAGAAUCCUGAAGAUCUGUCUGCAGAAACAAUGGCAAAAGACGUUGGCAAUGUGGUUGAAGCCAUGUAUGGGGACCUUCCUCCUCCAAUUAUGCUGAUUGGACAUAGCAUGGGUGGUGCUAUUGCAGUCCACACAGCAUCAUCCAACCUGGUACCAAGCCUCUUGGGUCUGUGCAUGAUUGAUGUUGUAGAAGGUACAGCUAUGGAUGCACUUAAUAGCAUGCAGAAUUUCUUACGGGGUCGUCCUAAAACCUUCAAGUCUCUGGAGAAUGCUAUUGAAUGGAGUGUGAAGAGUGGCCAGAUUCGAAAUCUGGAGUCUGCCCGUGUCUCAAUGGUUGGCCAAGUCAAACAGUGUGAAGGAAUUACAAGUCCAGAAGGUUCAAAAUCUAUAGUGGAAGGAAUCAUAGAGGAAGAAGAAGAAGAUGAGGAAGGAAGUGAGUCUAUAAGCAAGAGGAAAAAGGAAGAUGACAUGGAGACCAAGAAAGACCAUCCAUACACCUGGAGAAUUGAACUGGCAAAAACAGAAAAAUACUGGGACGGCUGGUUCCGAGGCUUAUCCAAUCUCUUUCUUAGUUGUCCCAUUCCUAAAUUGCUGCUCCUGGCUGGUGUUGAUAGAUUGGAUAAAGAUCUGACCAUUGGCCAGAUGCAAGGGAAGUUCCAGAUGCAGGUCCUACCCCAGUGUGGCCAUGCAGUCCAUGAGGAUGCCCCUGACAAGGUGAGUCUGGUGCUCAAUGACUGUAAAAGGACAACUGUGAGAAUAACCCUGGAUGUCACAGAAGACAAGUCUCUGAGUCUCAGCCUGCAUUGCCUGCAGCAGCUGCUGUGGAGCCUAUGCAGAUGCAAUUCCACCAGCUCUCCAACUUCUCCCUGGCAGCUGCUUAUGGUAUUGGUUUUGUGUAUAUGUGCUGAGGAGCUACUGACACCCUACUAUUUCAUCCCAGGGCCCUGUGGUUAAGAUCUUAAGCUCUACUUCUCCAAUACCCCCAAAAGCCAGAUGGAAGAGGGAUGAUUAGGGUAGAAACUGCUCCCUAAACCACAGGCACAGUUAGGAAUUAAUAUGGGCUCCUCCUGUGAGAAAACACCAUUUUGUAACUCUAAGGGCACAAAUAAGCCCUUCACAUCAUUCCUCUUGAGCUCUAUGGAGCUAUCCCUGGCAAGGAUGGUGGGGAGGAGUCUUCUAGCUCUGCUAGGGAGGGCCUAGGUCCUUUUAAUUUCAAGCCACUCAGACCUGUGGGUGGGAUGAGGGCACCGUAGAGCCUAACCAUCUAACAGUAGCCCACAGCCCAAGGCUAAGCCCCAUCACUAACCUUUAUAUGGCCUGGAAUAUCUCUCCCAUUUCUAGGUAGCUGAAGCUGUUGCCACUUUCCUGAUCCGGCAUAGGUUUGCAGAACCCAUCGGUGGAUUCCAGUGUGUGUUUCCUGGCUGUUAGUGACCUGCUGUCCACCCCUCCUCAACAUCGAGCUCUGUUGUAAAUACGUCGCACCAGAGGCCACUGUGAUGCCACUGUCUCCUCUCCAUCCCGCCCAGCCAUGUGACACUGGCUCCCUGUAGACGGGCACCCCGAGAUGUACCAACCUUUUCAUGUAUUCUGCCAAAAGCAUUGUUUUCCAGGGCCCUUGACCAACAUCGGCUUCCCCAGUCCAGGGCUCCCCUGCUCCUUUCCCUUCCCUGUACUGGGGUAGCUCCUGCCUGCUCUCCCUGCGUUGCCUAGGGUAAAGCCUCCAGAUUUGCCAUACUGAGUCCCUCUUCCUAGCAUCAGGCGAUACACCAGAGUCCACACGUCUUCCCAGGCUCAGGGACCUCCAUUCCUUGAGAUUGUCUUGGCAUGGGCCAGCCCUGCCUCAUGGGAUGGACAAUGCAUGGGGUGGUCUUUAUUUUUCUCUUUCAAAUAAAACACUAGUCAGGUACCAUUUUAUCCCAGUCGUACUCUUCCAGGUUUGGAAGACCCAGAGAGGCCAAGAUCCCAUCCUUAGCCAUAGCGAGGGGUGGUGGUGGAUAGCAUCACAAGAAACCAGCCUGAAAAUCAGGUCCAGCCAGUCCAAGCACAUGGCCUCCCAUCUGGGAGAGCCCACUGUCCCACUCCCACAUGUCUGGGCACCUGCCCUGGGCUGAGGCCAGGCUGCUCCAGGGGCCUCCUGAGCCCUCACCUGCCACAGAGCAACCCAGGUUAAAUACAGCCCAUGCACAAAGCCACAGGCCAAAGCCUAUGGAAUUGUUUUUAAUCAUCAAAUUUAACCAUUUUCAUAACUGGUUCCUGGAGGUGUGCAGUGCCCCCUUGCCUCUUCAAACCUACAGCUUCUCUUUGCCAUUUGUGGAUUUCACAUCACUCCACACAGAAACGUUACAGCCUGGCAUCCCCAGUCUUUGCCUUCUUCCAGCUGCCUCGACACAGCACUGCGGCCUGUCCCUAUUGCCCAGGCACGCCAUUUCCAAGGGCAGGAAGGGGCAGUGUCCUGAAGCCCAUCUUUUCUGUGACUGUCUUAGGUGAUGUGUAGCCUCCUCCACCUUUCCACUCAACAACCUCCCACCCCUGUCCUGCUGCAUGGUCCGGAGUCUGGGACCUACUUUGUUUUUUGUUAUUUAUGACCUUGUUUAAAGAAAAUAAAUAUCUCCCAACCUUUA